UACGUAGGGGGCAAGCGUUGUCCGGAAUCAUUGGGCGUAAAGCGCGCGUAGGCGGCCCGGUAAGUCCGCUGUGAAAAGUCCAGGGCUCAACCCUGGAAAGCCGGUGGAUACUGCCGGGCUAGAGUCCGGGAGAGGCGAGUGGAAUUCCUGGUGGUAGCGGUGGAAUGCGCAGAUAUCAAGGAGGAACACCUAAGGCGAAGGCGGCGUUCUGGACUGCAUCUCGACACUGAAAGACGAAAGCCAGGGGAGCAAACGGG
rnacentral:rRNA from 1 species